AGCGAACGCUGGCGGCAGGCUUAACACAUGCAAGUCGAGCGGGCACUUUCGGGUGUCAGCGGCGGACGGGUGAGUAACGCGGGGGAACGUGCCCUCUGGUUCGGAAUAACUCAGGGAAACUUGAGCUAAUACCGGAUACGCCCUUUUGGGGAAAGGCUUGCUGCCGGAGGAUCGGCCCGCGUCUGAUUAGCUAGUUGGUGAGGUAACGGCUCACCAAGGCGACGAUCAGUAGCUGGUCUGAGAGGAUGAUCAGCCACACUGGGACUGAGACACGGCCCAGACUCCUACGGGAGGCAGCAGUGGGGAAUAUUGGACAAUGGGCGCAAGCCUGAUCCAGCCAUGCCGCGUGAGUGAUGAAGGCCUUAGGGUUGUAAAGCUCUUUUAUCCGGGACGUUAAUGACGGUACCGGAGGAAUAAGCCCCGGCUAACUUCGUG
rnacentral:rRNA from 1 species